UCAAUACUCAAUUUUAUCCAGCAUGACACUUCUCUCAUGCUUCUAACUCUGGUUAAACAGGCCAGUCAAAACAAAAGAAAGCAUGUAUAUGUAUUACUAAGGCAUAAUCUGUCAUUGUUUACAAUUACAAAAUAUACAGCAUGCAUACAUGGUGGGGUAAGAACUUUUUUGCCUUCCCUCAUAUUAUAUAAAAUGGGAAAUGAUUGCCUUCUAGCUUUUUUCACCUGUCAGACUCGUGUUCUUAACAUUGGAAUGCUUAAAUGUCUUUGGAAGAAUUAUGCAAAAAGUGACAAGUCCAUGUGGUAAAAAUUACAAAGACAUUUAAGCAUUCCAA
rnacentral:lncRNA from 1 species